AAGAUGGCCGGAGAGGCAGCAGCAAGCCCAGCUGUCAGGCGGUCUGUCGCGGCCUGUGGGCUCGCCGCUGCGCUGGGAGCGCUACCCCGGCGUCCUGGAGGGCUCUGGGAGAGCGGGGAGGCCGCGGCUGGGGCGAGGCGGCCGCGCGCGAUGUGGGAACUCGCGGCCGGAGCGCCCGGGGAGGCCGGGCCCACGACGCCCGCGGCUCCGCUGCGGCAGCGGCGGUGCUGGUGGCGCGCGCGGCCGGGAGGCGGCUUCGCGCCGUGGGCGGGAGGCUGCGGCGGGCGACCCGUCCUGGACACGCGAGGAAGAGCGAGCCGAUGGCGGCAGCGGCCGCGCUUCGACCCGGUAACUUAGAAGAUGAUAAUUAAUGUGGUUGCUGAUAAUUCUGAAUAAAUACAGCUUUUAUCCCAGGUGUGCCAUUUUGAAGACUGAGACCAUAGAGUUCUAAGAAUAAAGGAAAGAGCCCUUGGGAAAUUAUUAUAUAUAGCAAGUAAGUUUUUUUAAUUGUUAUAUUUGAAUAUUUGCCAACAUUUGGGUAGGAAUAUAUCAUUAAAGCUUGUCAAUAAAAAAAUACCGUUUGACCAUGUAUAUAUAAAAAA
ensembl:processed_transcript